AUCCAGCUGACGAGUCUUAAAUAGGAUGAAACGCGUGUCCUGGAU
rnacentral:hammerhead_ribozyme from 1 species